rnacentral:rRNA from 1 species
AGUUUGAUCCUGGCUCAGAUUGAACGCUGGCGGCAGGCUUAACACAUGCAAGUCGAACGGUAGCAGGAGAAAGCUUGCUUUCUUGCUGACGAGUGGCGGACGGGUGAGUAAUGCUUGGGAAUCUGGCUUAUGGAGGGGGAUAACUACGGGAAACUGUAGCUAAUACCGCGUAGUAUCGAGAGAUGAAAGGGUGGGACCUUCGGGCCACCUGCCAUAAGAUGAGCCCAAGUGGGAUUAGGUAGUUGGUGGGGUAAAGGCCUACCAAGCCGACGAUCUCUAGCUGGUCUGAGAGGAUGACCAGCCACACUGGAACUGAGACACGGUCCAGACUCCUACGGGAGGCAGCAGUGGGGAAUAUUGCACAAUGGGGGGAACCCUGAUGCAGCUAUGCCGCGUGAAUGAAGAAGGCCUUCGGGUUGUAAAGUUCUUUCGGUGAUGAGGAAGGUGUUUGUUUUAAUAGAACAAGCAAUUGACGUUAGUCACAGAAGAAGCACCGGCUAACUCCGUGCCAGCAGCCGCGGUAAUACGGAGGGUGCAAGCGUUAAUCGGAAUGACUGGGCGUAAAGGGCACGCAGGCGGUGACUUAAGUGAGAUGUGAAAGCCCCGGGCUUAACCUGGGAAUUGCAUUUCAUACUGGGUCGCUAGAGUAUUUUAGGGAGGGGUAGAAUUCCACGUGUAGCGGUGAAAUGCGUAGA